CAGCAGUAGCCGCGGUAAUACGAAGGGGGCUAGCGUUGUUCGGAUUUACUGGGCGUAAAGCGCACGUAGGCGGAUCGAUCAGUCAGGGGUGAAAUCCCAGAGCUCAACUCUGGAACUGCCUUUGAUACUGUCGAUCUGGAGUAUGGAAGAGGUGAGUGGAAUUCCGAGUGUAGAGGUGAAAUUCGUAGAUAUUCGGAGGAACACCAGUGGCGAAGGCGGCUCACUGGUCCAUUACUGACGCUGAGGUGCGAAAGCGUGGGGGGCAAACAGGAUUAGAGACCCCCGUAGUCCCUGUCUCUUAUAC
rnacentral:rRNA from 1 species